rnacentral:rRNA from 1 species
GACGAAGGGGGCUAGCGUUGUUCGGAAUUACUGGGCGUAAAGCGCGUGUAGGCGGUUAUCCAAGUCGGGUGUGAAAGCCUUGAGCUCAACUCAAGUAAUGCAUUCGGUACUGGGUGACUAGAGGACCGGAGAGGAUAGUGGAAUUCCCAGUGUAGUGGUGAAAUACGUAGAGAUUGGGAAGAACACCAGUGGCGAAGGCGGCUAUCUGGACGGUUUCUGACGCUAAGACGCGAAAGCGUGGGGAGCAAACAGG